GACGAACGCUGGCGGCGUGCUUAACACAUGCAAGUCGAACGGAAAGGCCCUGCUUUUGUGGGGUGCUCGAGUGGCGAACGGGUGAGUAACACGUGAGUAACCUGCCCUUGACUUUGGGAUAACUUCAGGAAACUGGGGCUAAUACCGGAUAGGAGCUCCUGCUGCAUGGGGGGGGUUGGAAAGUUUCGGCGGUUGGGGAUGGACUCGCGGCUUAUCAGCUUGUUGGUGGGGUAGUGGCUUACCAAGGCUUUGACGGGUAGCCGGCCUGAGAGGGUGACCGGCCACAUGGGGACUGAGAUACGGCCCAGACUCCUACGGGAGGCAGCAGUGGGGAAUAUUGCACAAUGGGCGGAAGCGUGAUGCAGCAACGCCGCGUGCGGGAUGACGGCCUUCGGGUUGUAAACCGCUUUCGCCUGUGACGAAGCGUGAGUGACGGUAAUGGGUAAAGAAGCACCGGCUAACUACGUG
rnacentral:rRNA from 1 species